UGGGGAAUAUCGCACAAUGGGCGCAAGCCUGAUGCAGCCAUGCCGCGUGUGUGAAGAAGGCCUUCGGGUUGUAAAGCACUUUCAGCGGGGAGGAAGGCGUUAAGGUUAAUAACCUUGGCGAUUGACGUUACCCGCAGAAGAAGCACCGGCUAACUCCGUGCCAGCAGCCGCGGUAAUACGGAGGGUGCAAGCGUUAAUCGGAAUUACUGGGCGUAAAGCGCACGCAGGCGGUCUGUCAAGUCGGAUGUGAAAUCCCCGGGCUCAACCUGGGAACUGCAUUCGAAACUGGCAGGCUAGAGUCUUGUAGAGGGGGGUAGAAUUCCAGGUGUAGCGGUGAAAUGCGUAGAGAUCUGGAGGAAUACCGGUGGCGAAGGCGGCCCCCUGGACAAAGACUGACGCUCAGGUGCGAAAGCGUGGGGAGCAAACAGG
rnacentral:rRNA from 1 species